UACGAAGGGGGCUAGCGUUGCUCGGAAUUACUGGGCGUAAAGCGCACGUAGGCGGAUUGUUAAGUCGGGGUGAAAUCCUGGAGCUCAACUCCAGAACUGCCUUCGAUACUGGCGAUCUCGAGUUCGGGAGAGGUGAGUGGAACUGCGAGUGUAGAGGUGAAAUUCGUAGAUAUUCGCAAGAACACCAGUGGCGAAGGCGGCUCACUGGCCCGAUACUGACGCUGAGGUGCGAAAGCGUGGGGAGCAAACAGG
rnacentral:rRNA from 1 species